GGAUAGCUCAGUCGGUACAGUAUAUGACUCUUAAUCCCAGUCUCGUGGGUUCGAGUCCCACGUUAGGCA